UAGGGAAUCUUCGGCAAUGGGGGGAACCCUGACCGAGCAACGCCGCGUGAGUGAAGAAGGUUUUCGGAUCGUAAAGCUCUGUUGUUAAGGAAGAACGAGUGUGAGAAUGGAAAGUUCAUGCUGUGACGGUACUUAACCAGAAAGGGACGGCUAACUACGUGCCAGCAGCCGCGGUAAUACGUAGGUCCCGAGCGUUGUCCGGAUUUAUUGGGCGUAAAGCGAGCGUAGGCGGUUAGAAAAGUCUGAAGUGAAAGGCAGUGGCUCAACCAUUGUAGGCUUUGGAAACGGUUUAACUUGAGUGCAGAAGGGGGGAGUGGAAUUCCAUGUGUAGCGGUGAAAUGCGUAGAUAUAUGGAGGAACACCGGUGGCGAAAGCGGCUCUCUGGUCUGUAACUGACGCUGAGGCUCGAAAGCGUGGGGAGCGAACAGG
rnacentral:rRNA from 1 species